CUAUUCCUGAGUAGGACCUGGGCUCUCAAAAGAGAGACCACAGAAGACAGGAAGAAAGGGUCUCCCAUUAUCUCUUUCCCUAGAAAGUAUGCUCUGAGAAGCUGCCAAUGUCCCUCAAAGUCUUAGAUGGGUUCAGGACUUAACUAUAAGAACUAUUUUCCCCAUGCCCACAACAGAUGAAAACUAAAGGAAGAGCCUGACUUUUCUAAUUUCAAUUGGGUGACCUUGGAAGUCAUUUUUGAAAAUGGUGGGAACCCUAGAGGAAAGGAGCCUGGUCUUACAGUUACUGCUUGGAGAAGAGUCUCUCACCAAUCAAGAACAUCUAGUUAAACUUUACAUGGGCAAGAAAUAAAUAUGUAUUUAUUAAGUCA